rnacentral:lncRNA from 1 species
CCCUGUACCAAAUUUGAGGUCAUCCAUCGGAGGGGAAGCAUGAAGGAUACAAAAGAAGAGAAUGGAGCAAAGCUCUUGGCAAACUGUAGUAAAUUGGAAAGCAGGCAGCUAUUUUUAACCUGGAUGUGUUCUGUGAUAUGUUUCCCACACAGCACAGAAACUGGCACAGCUGAGGGGCCGGGAGCCAGGAGGGCUGGCGCUCGGGACACCUCCUCCUGGUGCGCUGCCAAGGACGGUGGCCGUGUCCUGCGGCCAGGGCGGUGGCCCCGGGCACUCGGCAUCCGUCCUGCGGCUCGCCGACCCUCCCCUCGAGACCUACUUCUGCCGGGACAGGCAAGGCUGGCAGCUUCGAAAAAAAUCACAGCUCCAUUGUGCUCCAAAGUCAUACUGAAUGAUUCAGAUGGAAAGAAAAACCCACGUCAGAAGGAACAGGGGACUCAAAGACCAGUGUCGAGGCCAGCAGACCAGGGACAUCUAUCCCACGCAGCAGACACCCUGAGAAUGUUGUACCCUGGGACAGCAGCGACAUUGUGGUUUACCCCUCUGUGGAAGACAAGUGCUGCUCCCGGUAUUGGGGUGUCCCUGAGCACCUCUGGCCCCACGGGACUGGCAUCGAUUGCCUGGGGGUGCUGGGGCAGCAGGAAAACCAUGCUGUCCUACCUGGAGGAUGCUGAUCCAGCUCCCAGCAGCUGGGGGAGAUGA